AGCGAACGCUGGCGGCAGGCCUAACACGUGCAAGUCGAGCGGCCCUUCGGGGCAGCGGCGGACGGGUGAGUAACGCGUGGGAACGUGCCCUUUGGUACGGAACAACUGAGGGAAACUUCAGCUAAUACCGUAUGUGCCCUACGGGGGAAAGAUUUAUCGCCAUUGGAGCGGCCCGCGUUAGAUUAGCUAGUUGGUAGGGUAAUGGCCUAGCAAGGCGACGAUCUAUAGCUGGUCUGAGAGGAUGAUCAGUCACACUGGGACUGAGACACGGCCCAGACUCCUACGGGAGGCAGCAGUGGGGAAUCUUGCGCAAUGGGCGAAAGCCUGACGCAGCCAUGCAGGGUGAAUGAUGAAGGUCUUAGGAUUGUAAAAUUCUUUCACCGGGGACGAUAAUGACGGUACCCGGAGAAGAAGCCCCGGCUAACUUCGUGCCAGCCGCCGCAGUAACAC
rnacentral:rRNA from 1 species